GGGGCCUCCUCCCCUGCUUUCGCCACCCGGCGCCUCGCCCCUCGACCCCGCGGCAGCUGGGCCCGGGCGCUCUGCUUCCCUCGGCCCUUUGUGGCUCUAGUUUAUUUUCCAGUUAAUGAAAUGGGAGACUGAGUCCCUGCCGCUGCCCCUGGAGACGCCGGAGUUCUGAAGGCAUCUCCUCCGCGAGACUCCAGCCUGCUUCCCUGUCCCCUUCCGCCGCCCCAGGCUGCCGUUGGGUCACACCUGCCGAGCAUCCGCUCCACACAGGGCCUCAGUCCGCCGGCAGGGAGCGACUGCGAUAGGGCCUGGGCCGAGGCCGGUGUUUGCUGGUGUGGGAGGGAAAGCCCUGCGGCCUGGAGGUCUAACUCUGCCAUUUGCCCGCUGUGCAUCGCCCAGCAAGUCACUCAACACCUCUGAGCCUUUGCUGCACCCUCUGUAAGACAUGCCUAACUCUAAACAGAGGUAGGGGUAAAAUCAUCUAAGAAAAUCCAGGGUCAGAGGAGUGGAGACUGAAGAGGAGAGCCCUUGUUGUGAGCAGCGAGCGGCUGGCAGGAAAUGCCACCUGAGCCAGCAGCCAGACCCUGCCUGGCAGGUACCACGAGGCCUGUUCCCUGGCACAGAAGCCAGAAAGCCAGUGGAAGUAGAGAGGAGUUCCAUUGUCCUGGAGCUUGGCUGUCACAGGUCUCCUGAACCAGGCUACUCAUUGGAAGCAGGGAUCUUCCAAUCCCCGUGACUCAGGUGAAGUAGCAUCCUUAGGGAUUACUUCCUCCGCCUUCGCGCCUGCCUGCUUCUGUUGGGGCAGGGCUCUGUGCAUGAGGAUGAAGACAAAUCUACAGGAGGAAGAUUCAAAAGAUCUCUGUUUGGGGAAGCUCUAAAACUGAAAAAUAAUCACAGCUAACAUUUACUGAGCAUAUGCUGCAUGCCUAGUAUUGUUCUAAGGGCUGUAUGGAUAUGAACUCAAUCCUCACAACUACCCCAUAAUGUAACUACUAUUAUUAUCCCUGUUUUCAUAUGAAAAAAACAAGAACUAGAGAGGUUAGCUACAUAAAAUGUCCAAGGUCACACAGAAAGGAAGGGAAAGAACCUAGAUUUGAAUCCCUGUCUGGUUUCAGGGCCCAUGUGCUUUGCUGUCAACUACUCUGCAAGGUACCUCUCUGAUAGGGAGGGACUUACCCAGCUUUCGCUCUACCCUCAGGGAGCUCCAGAAUGGUGUGACAUGCAUAUUCCUUGCCCCUCAAGAAUCCCCAAGUUUGAUAGGGGAGGCAGAUAUCCUGUCCUAGGAAGAUAUGUCCAGUCUGAUGGAAAAGACACAAGCUUUAUCUUUGGAUCAUCUGACUAAUACUAGGGACUCAGCCCCAGGAUGUCUACAGUUUGAUGAGUUAUGUUAUUAGAUUCUAAGAGACUCAGUUAAUUCGACUAGACAAAAUUGUGAGCCUUAGUGUUAAAGAGACGAGGAUGGAGCAAAGUUAGGGCAGCUUAAUUGGGGUUGCCCCAGGAGGGGAGGGUGAUACAAGAUUGGCAAUAAGCAGAAGAAAUGCUAGUGGAGAUAAGAGGGCAGGACACUUGUGUGGUGUGCAGACUUGCUGAAGACAAUGUCUGGAAAGCAGGGGUUUGCUUAGUUUAGCAGCUCUCUACCUUGGCUGUCUACUAGAAUCACCUGGAGCUAUGUCUAAAAAUACUGAUGCUUGAACUUCACCCCAGAACAAUUAAUCUUUAGGGAUGAGGGCAUGGCACUGGUGUUUUUAAACAGCCCUCAGGGCAGGGCAUGGUGGCUCAUGCCUGUAACCACAGCACUUUGGGAGGCUGAGGCGGGUGGAUCACCUGAGAUCAGGAGUUCGAGACCAGCUUGGCCAACAUGGCGAAAUGCUGUCUCUACUAAAAAUACAAAAACUACCCAGGCAUGGUGGCACACACCUGUAAUCCCAGCUACUUGGGAGGCUGUGGCAGGAGAAUCACUUGAACCCGGGAGGCGGAGGUUACAGUGAGCUGAGAUCAUGCCACGGCACUCCAGCCCAGGUGACAGAUCUAAACUCCAUCUCAAAAAAUUAAAAAAUAAUAAUAAUAAAAUUAAAGGCCCUCAGGAGGUGCUAUGCACAACUGGUGUUGAGGACCACUGGCUGGGGAUGAGGUCUAUGGUGUCUUAAGCUCUGAGAUCUGGGAUGCUGGAUGACUUAUGUGGAAGAAAUUCUAGAGACAUGAGUUUGCUAUGAACUGAGCUGGUGAAGAUUUGGAAUUAAAGGAAAGGGGGAGGGAAAAGAAAAGCUAAAGGACCAGAGGAGACAGGCCAGAUUGUUGUUUUCGCUGUUAGUGAGCUAGAGAAACUUGGUUCCUCUGUUUCUAGGCUUUUGAGGCAAAAUAAAAGGCCCACAAAAAUCCAAAAGGUCUGAUAACCCAGUCCCUUCUCAUAAAAAGAAUAGCUAUCAAGCCUGAUAUCAGACAUGGAGAUUAGGCAGGAAACACUGAGCUAAGAAUAUUCCCUUCCUUCGAUUAAAGACCUUUUUUUUUAAAUUAAUGCUCUCCUAGGCCGAGUGUGGUGGCUCACACCUGUAACCCCAGUACUUUGGGAGGCCGAGGCAGGCAAAUCACUUGAGGUCAGCAGUUCAAGACCAGCCUGGCCAACAUGGUGAAACCCCAUCUCUACUAAAAAUACAGAAAUUAGCUGGGCAUGGUGGCGGGUGCCUGUAAUCCCAGCUACUCAAGAGGCUGAGGCAGGAGAAUCGCUUGAACCCAGGAGAUGGAGGUUGCAGUGAGCCAAGAUCAUGCCACUACACUCCAGCCUGGGUGACAGAGUGCAACUCCUUCAAAAAAAAAAAAGAAAGAAAAGAAAAGAAAAGAAAACACACACACACCAAAAAUAAUACUUUCCUAAGUCAGGGUCACCCUCGCCUUCCCCUCCAUACACCAUCAUGUGGAGUGGAAAGGAGAAAAGGCUGUCUCGCUGACAUGUCCGGAGCUCCCUACCUCAGGGUUUUUGCCUUUGCUGCUACCAUCUUCCUGCUGCAUUCUUCCCUCAGACGCCUGAGCAGCUAAACCCUCAGUUCCUUCAGGUCUGUGCCCAAAUGUGGCUGUAGCAGAACAGCUUUCUUUGAUUACCUGUAAGAACAGUAAUUCCUCCCUCUCUCCCUCUCCCUAAUCUUUUAUCCUGCUUUAUUUGUCCCCCAUAGCAUUUACCAUAACCUAGUAUAUUUCAUAUUUUUUUCUACUGCCUCUGACUUUCCUCCAGAAUGGAACAUUAAAGGGAAAGACUUUGUCCUUUUUUUUUUAUUAUUAUUGUCUCCCCAAAGCCUAGAAUGGUGACUGGAAAAUAGCAGUCUGGAGCUGAAAAAAUAUCUGUGGAAUGUAUGAUUAAUGAAUGAACAAAUGAAAAGCCUUAUGUGUCUGUGUGUUGGUGUCUUUCUGUGUACGUUUGGGAUUGCAGUCCUAUUUCUCUGGCCAAAGUAUGGCUCUAUUCUUAAGCUGUGCUUGCCUGUGUUUUGGAAUAUAUGAAGAAUUCUCUGGGUCUGUGCAUAUGGGGC
rnacentral:lncRNA from 10 species